UUCAUUGAGCCGCAACUCCUCUUAAAAAAACAAAAUCGAAAAUAUGUGUGAUGUGACAUAUAAAUGUAGUGUUUGGUACUUCCUAAAUUUGUCUUUAAAAACAAACUUUUUUACACAGAAAACGACCGUUGUUGAUCCGUUUCUUAAAUGGUUUCGUGCAUGAUUAGUCAUCGUACUCUCUGCGAAAUUUAGAAACUUUUUGUUUUGCUUCAACACUUGCUAAAUUGUAUCGCGAUUUCGCAGGCAUCUUCUAGUGUAAAUAUAUAUAUAUAUAUAGACAAAUUGAUAGACGACAUCUUAUAUUGGCAGACCCUUUGAAACUAUAUUCCAGUAGGCAUUUGUUAAAUGUUAAAGGGUUCAUGGUUUCCUGUAGUUUUGUUAAUUAACUUUUUUAUUUUUAUUUUUGUAAAAGUUGUUCAUUGGCAAUUAUUAUAUAUUAUCGGGUUUUCUACACAUUGAUAUCGUAGAAUAUCAGCCGAAGAAAACCCGAUUAUGUGUUUAUCGUUGCAUGUGGUCAUUUCCUCCUCCCUUUUACUUUUGACGAAAAUAAGCUUGAUAAUGUCUCCUUUCACAUUGUGACGUCGCUUAUUACUUUUCCUCAGACAUUGUGACGUCGCUGAUAAUGCCUGCUCUUGUCUCAAAGCCGUGAUACGAGAAUAACGGAUUGACUGAGCAGGGUGAUAUAGGCGUAGGGAAGGAGGAUAAUACUAAAUCUUUUUAUGUCACGUCAUUUUUUCUGUUGUAUACAUCUCUUAAAUAACAAAGUGAACUAAUUCUAAAUCAAGGAAGUCAAACUCUUAUUGUGUGCAAAAGUUCAACUCAAGAAAAUGGGUGUAUGGGAGAUGUCAAUAUUCAUUUGCCCAUAUAGUAUAAUGGAAUAGGGUCAAUUAUGACCUUAUUCACACGAAAUAUUACUGCAGAUUAUGAGCAUAAUAUUAUCAUUAAUACAAAAUUUAAACCUGAUAUCUAUGAUGAGUUUAUUUACAGCCUAUGGGUCGAUGCCACUGAUGGUGGAGUUUUAAUUUCCCAGAAGGUAUCAACAGCCCAGUAGAAAUGUUGACAUGAAUUAUCAUUGAUAUGGUCAUAUUUAUAAAUUAACUAUUUACAAAACGUUUGAGUUUUUGAAAUACAAAGGCUUUUCUACCUAAGGAAUAGUAUACACCUAUUGACUGGGUGUGAGGGUAAUAGCAAGUUUGUUGUCCCUGAGAUACCAACUAUUGCUCGAGGCAAA
rnacentral:lncRNA from 1 species